rnacentral:rRNA from 1 species
UAACACAUGCAAGUCGAACGGACCUAGCCCGGUAGUAAUAUUGGGCGACGGUUAGUGGCGAACGGGUGUGUAACGCGUGAGCAACCUGCCUUUCAGAGGGGGAUAACAACUGGAAACAGUUGCUAAUACCGCAUAAUGUAUUUAGAUGGCAUCAUUUGGAUACCAAAGGUUAAAUCCGCUGAGAGAUGGGCCCACGUCUGAUUAGCUAGAUGGUAGGGUAAGGGCCUACCAUGGCUGCGAUCAGUAGCCGGUCUGAGAGGAUGAACGGCCACAUUGGGACUGAGACACGGCCCAGACUCCUACGGGAGGCAGCAGUGGGGAAUAUUGGGCAAUGGGCGCAAGCCUGACCCAGCAACGCCGCGUGAAGGAAUAAGGCCUUCGGGUUGUAAACUUCUUUUAUUAGGGACGAAGGAUGUGACGGUACCUAAUGAAUAAGCCACGGCUAACUACGUGCCAGCAGCCGCGGUAAUACGUAGGUGGCAAGCGUUGUCCGGGUUUACUGGGUGUAAAGGGCGCGUAGGCGGGAAUGCAAGUCAGAUGUGAAAUCCAUGGGCUCAACCCAUGAACUGCAUUUGAAACUGUGUUUCUUGAGUGAUGGAGAGGCAGGCGGAAUUCCUAGUGUAGCGGUGAAAUGCGUAGAUAUUAGGAGGAACACCAGUGGCGAAGGCGGCCUGCUGGACAUCAACCGACGCUGAUGCGCGAGAGCGCGGGGAGCAAACAGGAUUAGAUACCCUGGUAGUCCGCGCCGUAAACGAUGAAUACUAGGUGUGGGGGGACUGACCCCUUCCGUGCCGGAGCAAACGCAAUAAGUAUUCCACCUGGGGACUACGGUCGCAAGACUAAAACUCAAAGGAAUUGACGGGGGCCCACACAAGCAGUGGAUUAUGUGGUUUAAUUCGAAACAACGCUUAAACCUUACCGGGGUUUGACAUCCGACUAACGAAGCAGAGAUGCAUUAGGUGCCCUUCGGGGAAAUCGAGACAGGUGGUGCAUGGUUGUCGUCAGCUCGUGUCGUGAGAUGUUGGGUUAAGUCCCGCAACGAGCGCAACCCUUGUUGUUAGUUGCUACGUAAGAGCACUCUAACGAGACUGCCGUUGACAAAACGGAGGAAGGUGGGGACGACGUCAAAUCAUCAUGCCCCUUAUAUCCCGGGCUACACACGUAAUACAAUGGCGUUUAACAACGGGAAGCGAAGGAGCGAUCCGGAGCGAAUCCCCAAAGGCGUCUCAGUUCGGAUUGCAGGCUGCACUCGCCUGCAUGAAGUAGGAUUGCUAGUAAUCGCGGAUCAGCAUGCCGCGGUGAAUACGUUCCCGGGCCUUGUACACACCGCCCGUCACACCAUGAGAGUCGGGAACACCCGAAGUCGGUAGUCUAACCUGAUAAGGAGGGCGCCGCCGAAGGUGGGCUUGAUAAUUAGGGUG